rnacentral:rRNA from 1 species
CACCAGCGCCACGAGUGGCAAUCAUUUUUAUUGGGCCUAAAGCGUCCGUAGCUGGAUUUGCAUGUCUUUUGUGAAAUCACUAGGCUUAACCUAGUGGCUGGCAAGAGAAACUGCAUUUCUAGGAACCGGGAGGAGUAUGGAGUAUUCUGGGGGGAACGGUAAAAUGUAAUAAUCCUCAGAGGACUACCAGUGGCGAAGGCGCCAUACCAGAACGGACUCGACAGUGAGGGACGAAGGCCAGGGGAGCAAAACGGAUUAGAUACCCGAGUAGUCCUGGCAGUAAACGCUGUGUGCUAGGUGUUGCAUUUCCUUGUGGACGUGCAGUAUCGAAGCGAAGGCAUUAAGCAUACCGCCUGGGUAGUACGGUCGCAAGGCUGAAACUUAAAGGAAUUGGCGGGGGAGCACUACAAGGGGUGCAGCGUGCGGUUUAAUCUAACUCUACGCAGAGAAUCUCACCAGGGGCGACUGCAGGAUGAUGAUCAGGUUAAUGGCCUUAUCAGACGAGCAGAGAGGUGGUGCAUGGCCGUCGUCAGCUCGUGCCGUAAGGUGUCCUGUUAAGUCAGGUAACGAGCAAGAUCUGCGUCUACUAUUGCCAUCAGGGUCCACGGACCGACUGGGCACAUUGUAGAGACUGCCUUCGAAAGGAGGAGGAAGGUGCAGGCAACGAUAGGUCUGUAUGCCCCGAAUCUCCUGGGCUACACGCGCGCGACAAUGGAUAGGACAAUGGGCUGCAACUCCGAAAGGAGAAGCUAAUCCUCUAAACCUAUUCCAAGUUUAGAUUGUGGGUUGUAACUCACCCACAUGACACUGGAAUCCCUAGUAAUUGGAGUUCAUCAUACUCCGGUGAAUAUGUCCCUGCUCCU